GUAGGAAACGCUAUAACAGUAAUGCAGUGUAAUGACAGAACACCUUAGAAUUAUCUUAAUUUUAAGAUCACUGAAUACAAUCCAAUAAGCCUCCUCCAACACUCACACUUCAUCAUACAAUGAGAUGAGGACGCAGAAAAUAAGGCAUGUAAUAAACACACGAAAAUGCCAACUUGGUUGAGGAGGCAAUUUUAUCAUAGCUGCUGGUGCUAAAUGUGUACAUUUUGCAAUUCAGGAGUGAAUCAUGAAAAAGUUUUGAAUGAAAUGGAAGUAAAAUAUGGAUGUAAAACAAUGUUUUAUAUAGGCCUAAGGAGAGAUGUAAAUAUAAGAGUAGAUAAGAGCUGUGAUGGACAAAUAUCCUAAAAGCCAGUCAUUCUAAGAGCUAUUUAUUGGAAUAUGAGCUUACUCCCUACACUCAAAUCACAAAUGUGCGACUGGCCAAACAAGCCGACUGGCAACAAUAAGCAGAAGUUACACAGCAGAGAAAAUGUAAGUAAAAAGUGGACUGUGGACUAACAUGAAGAAAUGAGUUUUGCUGGUUCAUUAAGAAUCUUUGGCCAUAGCCUUACAUCCACCUUGUGUUAACAAGCAUGGAGACUCAUCUUCUGCACAAGGAAAAUGUAUUUUUUUUUCAGACCUGCGUAUAAGUAGCAUAGUGCAAUGUAUACAGUUAUAGACAGUUAUAUAGUGAUAUAAAUGUUUAAACAAUGAAUAUAUGAAAAGAUAUUUAGGUGCAAACAGCCAUAUAGGGUAUAUAAGGGAGUUGGAGAAUGCUUCUAUAUAAAUGUUGCAAAUAUUGUUCUUCCUCAUUCCUUCACCAAUAAAAUGUUCAGUUUCAGUUUCUAUACAUUGA